rnacentral:rRNA from 1 species
UACGAAGGGGGCUAGCGUUGCUCGGAAUCACUGGGCGUAAAGCGCACGUAGGCGGGUCUUUAAGUCAGGGGUGAAAUCCUGGAGCUCAACUCCAGAACUGCCUUUGAUACUGAGGAUCUCGAGUCCGGGAGAGGUGAGUGGAACUCCGAGUGUAGAGGUGAAAUUCGUAGAUAUUGGGAAGAACACCGGUGGCGAAGGCGGCUCACUGGCUCAUUACUGACGCUCAGGCGCGAUAGCGUGGGGAUCAAACAGG